rnacentral:rRNA from 1 species
GAGGGAAACCGAGUCUUAAUUGGGCGUUAAGUUGCAGGGUAUAGACCCGAAACCCGGUGAUCUAGCCAUGGGCAGGUUGAAGGUUGGGUAACACUAACUGGAGGACCGAACCGACUAAUGUUGAAAAAUUAGCGGAUGACCUGUGGCUGGGGGUGAAAGGCCAAUCAAACCGGGAGAUAGCUGGUUCUCCCCGAAAGCUAUUUAGGUAGCGCCUCGUGAAUUCAUCUCCGGGGGUAGAGCACUGUUUCGGCUAGGGGGCCAUCCCGGCUUACCAACCCGAUGCAAACUGCGAAUACCGGAGAAUGUUAUCACGGGAGACACACGGCGGGUGCUAACGUCCGUCGUGAAGAGGGAAACAACCCAGACCGCCAGCUAAGGUCCCAAAGUCAUGGUUAAGUGGGAAACGAUGUGGGAAGGCCCAGACAGCCAGGAUGUUGGCUUAGAAGCAGCCAUCAUUUAAAGAAAGCGUAAUAGCUCACUGGUCGAGUCGGCCUGCGCGGAAGAUGUAACGGGGCUAAACCAUGCACCGAAGCUGCGGCAGCGACACUCAGGUGUUGUUGGGUAGGGGAGCGUUCUGUAAGCCUGCGAAGGUGGCCUGUGAGGGUUGCUGGAGGUAUCAGAAGUGCGAAUGCUGACAUAAGUAACGAUAAAGCGGGUGAAAAGCCCGCUCGCCGGAAGACCAAGGGUUCCUGUCCAACGUUAAUCGGGGCAGGGUGAGUCGACCCCUAAGGCGAGGCCGAAAGGCGUAGUCGAUGGGAAACGGGUUAAUAUUCCCGUACUUGGUGUUACUGCGAAGGGGGGACGGAGAAGGCUAUGUUGGCCGGGCGACGGUUGUCCCGGUUUAAGCGUGUAGGUGUGUGUUCCAGGUAAAUCCGGUUCACUUUAACACUGAGGCGUGACGACGAGGCACUACGGUGCUGAAGCAACAAAUGCCCUGCUUCCAGGAAAAGCCUCUAAGCAUCAGGUAACAUCAAAUCGUACCCCAAACCGACACAGGUGGUCAGGUAGAGAAUACCAAGGCGCUUGAGAGAACUCGGGUGAAGGAACUAGGCAAAAUGGUGCCGUAACUUCGGGAGAAGGCACGCUGACACGUAGGUGAAGUGAUUUACUCACGGAGCUGAAGUCAGUCGAAGAUACCAGCUGGCUGCAACUGUUUAUUAAAAACACAGCACUGUGCAAACACGAAAGUGGACGUAUACGGUGUGACGCCUGCCCGGUGCCGGAAGGUUAAUUGAUGGGGUCAGCGCAAGCGAAGCUCCUGAUCGAAGCCCCGGUAAACGGCGGCCGUAACUAUAACGGUCCUAAGGUAGCGAAAUUCCUUGUCGGGUAAGUUCCGACCUGCACGAAUGGCGUAAUGAUGGCCAGGCUGUCUCCACCCGAGACUCAGUGAAAUUGAACUCGCUGUGAAGAUGCAGUGUACCCGCGGCAAGACGGAAAGACCCCGUGAACCUUUACUAUAGCUUGACACUGAACAUUGAGCCUUGAUGUGUAGGAUAGGUGGGAGGCUUUGAAGUGUGGACGCCAGUCUGCAUGGAGCCGACCUUGAAAUACCACCCUUUAAUGUUUGAUGUUCUAACGUGGACCCGU